CAAGGCUUGACAUAUAGGGAAAAGUGGCAGAGAUGUCAUGUCCGCAAGGGCUCUAUACAGGUGGUGCAUGGUUGUCGUCAGCUCGUGUCGUGAGAUGUUGGGUUAAGUCCCGCAACGAGCGCAACCCUCGUUCUGUGUUGCCAGCAUUUAGUUGGGGACUCACAGGAGACUGCCGGGGUUAACUCGGAGGAAGGUGGGGAUGACGUCAAAUCAUCAUGCCCCUUAUGUCUUGGGCUGCACGCAUGCUACAAUGGCCGGUACAGAGGGCUGCAAUACCGUAAGGUGGAGCGAAUCCCAAAAAGCCGGUCUCAGUUCGGAUUGAGGUCUGCAACUCGACCUCAUGAAGUUGGAGUUGCUAGUAAUCGUAGAUCAGCAACGCUACGGG
rnacentral:rRNA from 1 species